rnacentral:rRNA from 1 species
CACGAACUGCGCGAACGUUAUUCGGAAUCACUGGGCUUAAAGAGUUCGUAGGCGGCUUGGUCAGUCAGAUGUGAAAUCCCACAGCCCAACUGUGGAACUGCGUUUGAUACUGCCAAGCUUGAGGGAGUUAGAGGAAAGCGGAACUGAUGGUGGAGCGGUGAAAUGCGUUGAUAUCAUCAGGAACACCGGUGGCGAAAGCGGCUUUCUGGAGCUCUUCUGACGCUGAGGAACGAAAGCUAGGGGAGCGAACGGG